rnacentral:rRNA from 1 species
UGAUGGAAAGUUGAAAAGAACUUUGAAGAGAGGGUUCAAGAGUACGUGAAACCGCCACGGGAAAAAACGGAUGGGACCUCGAARGUAUCGUCGCGGGGAUUCAGCCGAUCGGUUCGGGCGGGCGUCUGUUGUCGACCGCAAGGCGACACGGGUGCUCYGCUACGGGCUGGAACGGUGCACUUCCUCGCGACUGAAUGCUGCGACCGAUUGGGCAGCUGCCAGCGAGCCAGGCGGGAGCCUGUCGCAGGGACUCGUCCCGCGGCAGACCGUCGGGUUUCGGCAGUCUGGUCGAUCGUAUCCGAACGGUACAGUGCACGCGCACGGCGCGCCGGUCUCGAACUCCGGCGGCGGCACUGCGCUCUGCAGCGAGUAGAUCGGCGACCCAUCCGACCCGUCUUGAAACACGGACCAAGGAGUCUAACAUGUGCGCAAGUGAUUGGGUGUUCCAAGACCCAAACGCGCAAUGAAAGUGAAGGCCCGGAUUGCCAGGCCGAGGGGUGAUCGUGCCCCUUCGGGGGAACGCGCAGCCCCGGGACGCGCCGUACGCUUGCCGUAGGCUCGUACCCAGAGCGUACACGUUGGGACCCGAAAGAUGGUGAACUAUGCCUGGCCAGGACGAAGUCAGAGGAAACUCUGAUGGAGGUCCGUAGCGAUUUUGACGUGCAAAUCAAUCGUCCGAGCUGGGUAUAGGGGCGAAAGACUAAUCGAACCAUCUAGUAGCUGGAUCCAUCCGAAGUUUCCCUCAGGAUAGCUGGCGCUCGCANGACCGAGUUUCAUCCGGUAAAGCGAAUGAUUAGAGGCCUUGGGGCCGAAACGANCUCAACCUAUUCUCAAACUUUAAAUGGGUGAGAAGUCGGGCUUGCUCGACUGAAGCACCGACCNUNGAAUCNAGAGUGCCAAGUGGGCCACUUUUGGUAAGCAGAACUGGCGCUGUGGGAUGAACCAAACGCAGAGUUAAGGUGCCCGAGAGAACGCUCAUCAGAUCCCAUGAAAGGUGUUGGUUGCUAUAGACAGCAGGACGGUGGCCAUGGAAGUCGGAA